CUACGGGGGGCAGCAGUGGGGAAUAUUGGGCAAUGGGCGAAAGCCUGACCCAGCAACGCCGCGUGAAGGAAGAAGGUUUUCGGAUCGUAAACUUCUAUCCCAGGUGAAGAUAAUGACGGUAGCCUGGAAGGAAGCCCCGGCUAACUACGUGCCAGCAGCCGCGGUAAUACGUAGGGGGCAAGCGUUGUCCGGAAUGAUUGGGCGUAAAGGGCGCGUAGGCGGCCUUCUAAGUCCGAUGUGAAAGUCCUGCUUUUAAGGUGGGAAUUGCAUUGGAAACUGGAGGGCUUGAGUGCAGGAGAGGUAAGUGGAAUUCCCGGUGUAGCGGUGAAAUGCGUAGAGAUCGGGAGGAACACCAGUGGCGAAGGCGACUUACUGGACUGUAACUGACGCUGAGGCGCGAAAGUGUGGGGAGCAAACAGGAUUAGAUACCCUCGUAGUC
rnacentral:rRNA from 1 species